rnacentral:tRNA from 1 species
UGGCUCAGUGGUUAAGAGCACUGACUUGGCUCAGAGGUCCUGGGUUCAAAUCCCAG